AAAUUGAACAAGAGCCUCAGAAUUCUAAUCCUGUGUCUGUCUUGUUUUGUAGGGUCAUUUUUCCAGUGCAACACUCACAUCAUCCCGGUGAAGAACGAAGAGGGAGUGGUGAUGAUGUUCAUCCUGAAUUUUGAUUACGUGUUGGACGAGGACAGCAGCAGCUCUACGGAGAGACUGAACCUCACGCCGCCCGCCAAAGCUGAAAUCAGAAAAGGCCGGUUCUUCCGUCUGCGUCUGCCCUCACUGAAGCUCCUGGGGGUCAGUAAACAGUCUCUCCCUCAGGACGACCCAGACUCAGUCAUGGUGGACUCACCCAGAGCCAGCGACCAGAGUGAUGACUCUGCGGCAGUGAUGGAUGUCCCGUCGCCUACCCAGCAUGUCUGCAGUCCAGCCGAUGCCAACGACACGCGGGCGCUGAUCCGCUCCAGCAGCCAAUCAUCUCCGGUCAGCGUUCCUCUGGACCACUCAUCCCCCAGACAGACGUGGCAUCGGCCCGGAGCAGCUCAGACUCAGUCCAGCAGCUGUCUGGCGCAGGCCGUGUCCAGAGACAGUGUGUGCAGCCGCAGACGAGCCUCCUCCGUCCACGACAUCGAAGGGUUGAGCGCAAACCACAAACGCCUCUACACAGACAGACACACCAGUGAAGGUGAGUGAGCCAUCACAACAUAGGUCUCAAACUUGAUGCCUGGAGGGCUGCAACUAUGCACA
rnacentral:lncRNA from 1 species